GCUCAACCGGGGAGGGUCAUUGGAAACUGGGGAACUUGAGUGCAGAAGAGGAGAGUGGAAUUCCACGUGUAGCGGUGAAAUGCGUAGAGAUGUGGAGGAACACCAGUGGCGAAGGCGACUCUCUGGUCUGUAACUGACGCUGAGGCGCGAAAGCGUGGGGAGCGAACAGGAUUAGAUACCCUGGUAGUCCACGCCGUAAACGAUGAGUGCUAAGUGUUAGAGGGUUUCCGCCCUUUAGUGCAGCAGCAAACGCAUUAAGCACUCCGCCUGGGGAGUACGGUCGCAAGACUGAAACUCAAAGGAAUUGACGGGGGCCCGCACAAGCGGUGGAGCAUGUGGUUUAAUUCGAAGCAACGCGAAGAACCUUACCAGGUCUUGACAUCCUCUGACAACCCUAGAGAUAGGGCUUCCCCUUCGGGGGCAGAGUGACAGGUGGUGCAUGGUUGUCGUCAGCUCGUGUCGUGAGAUGUUGGGUUAAGUCCCGCAACGAGCGCAACCCUUGAUCUUAGUUGCCAGCAUUCAGUUGGGCACUCUAAGGUGACUGCCGGUGACAAACCGGAGGAAGGUGGGGAUGACGUCAAAUCAUCAUGCCCCUUAUGACCUGGGCUACACACGUGCUACAAUGGGCAGAACAAAG
rnacentral:rRNA from 1 species